rnacentral:tRNA from 1 species
AUCCGUCGACUUUAGAAAUCG